UGGGGAAUAUUGCACAAUGGGCGAAAGCCUGAUGCAGCAACGCCGCGUGAGUGAUGAAGGCCUUCGGGUUGUAAAGCUCUGUCUUUUGGGACGAUAAUGACGGUACCAAAGGAGGAAGCCACGGCUAACUACGUGCCAGCAGCCGCGGUAAUACGUAGGUGGCAAGCGUUGUCCGGAUUUACUGGGCGUAAAGGAUGCGUAGGCGGAUUUUUAAGUGAGAUGUGAAAUACCCGGGCUUAACUUGGGUGCUGCAUUUCAAACUGGGAAUCUAGAGUGCGGGAGAGGAGAAUGGAAUUCCUAGUGUAGCGGUGAAAUUCGUAGAGAUUAGGAAGAACACCAGUGGCGAAGGCGAUUCUCUGGACCGUAACUGACGCUGAGGCAUGAAAGCGUGGGUAGCAAACAGGAUUAGAUACCCUGGUAGUCCACGCCGUAAACGAUGAGUACUAGGUGUAGGAGGUAUCGACCCCUUCUGUGCCGCAGUUAACACAAUAAGUACUCCGCCUGGGAAGUACGAUCGCAAGAUUAAAACUCAAAUGAA
rnacentral:rRNA from 1 species